rnacentral:rRNA from 1 species
CCUACGGGAGACAGCAGUGGGGGAUAUUGCACAAUGGGGGAAAGCCUGAUGCAGCGACGCCGCGUGUGGGAAGACGGUCCUCUGGAUUGUAAACCACUGUCGCCAGGGACGAAGAUGACGGUACCUGGGGAGGAAGCUACGGCUAAAUACGGGCGAGCAGCCGCGGUAAUACGUAGGGAGCGAGCGUUGUCAGGAAUUACUGGGGGUAAAGGGAGCGUAGGCGGGACUUGAAGUUGGGUGUCAAAUCUCCCGGCUCAACCGGUAGCCGCACUCAAAACUGCAGUUCUUGAGUGAAGUAGAGGCAGGCGGAAUUCCUAGUGUAGCGGUGAAAUGCGUAGAUAUUAGGAGGAACUCCAGUGGCGAAGGCGGCCUGCUGGGCUUUUACUGACGCUGAGGCUCGAAAGUGUGGGGAGCAAACAGGAUUAGAUACCCCAGUAGUC